rnacentral:lncRNA from 1 species
AAUUUUUUUUAGAAGUUCACUUGUGCCUAGGUGGCUUAGUCGAUUAAGCAUCUGCCUUCAGCUCAGGUCAUGAUCUCAGGGUCCUGGGAUGGAGCCCUGAAUGAGGCUCCCUGCUCAGCAGGGCAUCUGUUUCUCCCUCUGCCCCUGCCCCUGCUCUCUCUCUCUCUCUCAAAUAAAUAAAUCUUAAAUCAAUUUUUAGAAGUUUAGAAUGGUAAAGUGAAAGUGCACACAUCAUUCAGACAAUCUUGGUGGAAUCUAAUGUCAUAAAAUUUAAAAUUCAGAAAGAGAAAAAGCAGAGUUAGAAUGUUCUCCCCAGGUCCAUCAGAUAAAUGUGAAUUCAAAACCCAGAUUUGCCUUGAUGAGUUAUACGAUCUUGAGCAAGGAAAGUACUUAACAUUUUUAGAUCUCCGAUUCCUAAUCUAUGAAAUGAGACUCCCAGGGUAUGCAUACUUCAGUGAGUCGUUUUGCAUAUUAAAUGAGAAAACAAAUGGGCAAAGUCUAUACAUGUUCAUUUCCUGUUCUCCUCUAAACAUGAAUAUGAAGGUGUUUAAACUAAAAUUAGCCAUGUGCUAAUUUAACCCUUAAUACAUCACAAAGAUUAAAAAAAAUGGAAUUAAUUCCACCAACAGCUUUCAAACAAAUGCUGAAAAGGCUUUCUUGGACGUACCUUGGUUUGGUAGUUUUCAACUUUACAUCUUAGAUUCCAAACGUCCAAGUAUAUCUUGAUGCGUGGAGAAGUUUCACUGCAAGGGAAUUUGGGGACGAAAGUUUGCAUUGUUUGGAUAGGGCCAGAAUUCAAACUCCUUCUGCUAAGUCGUCUGCCUUUUCUCAUUUAAUGAACUCUAUUACUGUGUUACUUCAUCCAUUCCCUCUUAGCUUAAUGGAAAUGCUGAAAGCAAUCCACAGUAUCAACCAUAUCAAAUAUCAUGAAUCAUCGUCUCAGUCCUGGACGACUCUACCCCACCCCAUACGGGUGCCCCGCCACAUUACAGAGCUUAUGCUUGCUGAGACACACCCUUUGGCCAGUCUGGAAUUUGCAGAGCUAGAGUCACUAAUGGCUUUGACAGCAAACAAGCAGUGUCCACUGCCUCUGUUCGACUCCCUAAAAAUGCCAGUAACACUAGGAAGCUGUGGCCUUCUGCUGAUAUCAAAGACUAAAUUACCUUCCACUCUAGUGAGGGAGACACGCAAAGAACAAGCGAACACAACCCACACAGACGAAGGCUGUGAAUUUUCUCUAGACUUGAUCAAACUCAGCACACACUGUUGCUGCUGUGCGGACAGUUUCCCUCUCAUGGCUUCCUGGCUUUUUUUGGGGUCCUCCUGACCAGGCUUCCCAAGGAAAUGAAUAACCAGCAAUACUGCCACCUCAUGCCUUCUUAAAAAUAAACCUUUC